UGGGGAAUAUUGCACAAUGGGCGCAAGCCUGAUGCAGCCAUGCCGCGUGUAUGAAGAAGGCCUUCGGGUUGUAAAGUACUUUCAGCGGGGAGGAAGGCGAUAAGGUUAAUAACCUUGUCGAUUGACGUUACCCGCAGAAGAAGCACCGGCUAACUCCGUGCCGGCAGCCGCGGUAAUACGGAGGGUGCAAGCGUUAAUCGGAAUUACUGGGCGUAAAGCGCACGCAGGCGGUCUGUCAAGUCGGAUGUGAAAUCCCCGGGCUCAACCUGGGAACUGCAUUCGAAACUGGCAGGCUAGAGUCUUGUAGAGGGGGGUAGAAUUCCAGGUGUAGCGGUGAAAUGCGUAGAGAUCUGGAGGAAUACCGGUGGCGAAGGCGGCCCCCUGGACAAAGACUGACGCUCAGGUGCGAAAGCGUGGGGAGCAAACA
rnacentral:rRNA from 1 species